GCGCACGUGGCGGAAUUGGUAGACGCGCAUGAUUCAGGUUCAUGUGUCCUCACGGACGUGGAGGUUCGAUUCCUCUCGUGCGCACCA
rnacentral:tRNA from 2 species